CACGUAGGGGCCAAGCGUUGUCCGGAUUUAUUGGGCGUAAAGAGCUCGUAGGCGGUUCGACAAGUCGGGUGUGAAAACUCCGGGCUCAACCCGGAGACGCCACCCGAUACUGUCGUGACUGGAGUCCGGUAGGGGAGUGGGGAAUUCCUGGUGUAGCGGUGAAAUGCGCAGAUAUCAGGAGGAACACCGGUGGCGAAGGCGCCACUCUGGGCCGGUACUGACGCUGAGGUGCGAAAGCGUGGGGAGCAAACAGG
rnacentral:rRNA from 1 species